rnacentral:rRNA from 1 species
AUGGCAGAACAAGAGGCGGAGAAGCAAAGGGAUAAGUUGUUCAAUGACACUCGGCCUAUGGUACCUACAAAACUAGUGUGGAGGCCCAAACAAAUACGAUAUACAGUGGCCUCUACGCCUAUCACAGCAGCACCUACACUACCAAAAAAGGACGACGCAAUCAUUGCAUCCUCUACGUUACCUAUUGCUUCUUCUUCACUCGGACAAAUUUCUGAAUCGGUGGAUGCAGUUGAGGAGGAGGCUGAUAUGUUGGACUAUGAGUCUACACCGGUUCAUGAAGGUAUGGAUAUCAAUAUGGUGUAUUUUCGUGCUGUAGAUGAGGAAGGGGAGGUGGCUCAGCUGGAUUUUGGCCCUAAAAACGCGAUAUUCGAGAGGCCAAAAGAACUAGUAACGCUUCUGAAACCAUUAUAUCUCAGAGGUCAUAUCAAUGGGCCGCCGCUCACUCGCAUGCUUGUUGAUGGUGGUGCUGUGGUAAAUCUUAUGCCCUAUUCGGUCUUCAAGAAAUUGGGUUUGCCUGAUGAAGAAUUGAUCAAGACCAAUAUGGUGCUUAACGGGUUUGAAGGCAAAGAGAAAACUGAAGCCAAAGGUGUGAUGUGUGUGGAGCUUACAGUCGGAAGCAAAACUUUGGCUACUGCAUUCUUUGUCUCCGAGGUGCAAGGUAACUACAACGUCAUACUAGGCCGUGAUUGGGUUCAUGCAAACCAGUGCGUGCCAUCCACUAUGCACCAGUUUUUGAUUCAGUGGGUUGAUGAUGAAGUGGAAGUCAUUCAUGCGGAUAACUCGGCCUGUGUUGCUUUGGCCGAUGCGUCGGUGGAUUGGCAACAUCCCAAUGCUACUUGCUUGACGGGACGUGACUUAUCAAAGUUUGAUUUUCUCAGCGCAACCAAGAAUGGUUUUGUGCCCGUCUCUUUAAAGCCGACUGAAUGCAAUCGGCUCCAAGGUAUGAUAUGUUUAAAUGGAUUCUAG